CCUACGGGCGGCUGCAGUGGGGAAUAUUGGACAAUGGGGGGAACCCUGAUCCAGCCAUGCCGCGUGUGUGAAGAAGGCCCUCGGGUUGUAAAGCACUUUCAGUGAGGAAGAACGCCUGGUGGUUAAUACCCAUCAGGAAAGACAUCACUCACAGAAGAAGCACCGGCUAACUCCGUGCCAGCAGCCGCGGUAAUACGGAGGGUGCGAGCGUUAAUCGGAAUUACUGGGCGUAAAGCGCGCGUAGGUGGCUUGAUAAGCCGGUUGUGAGAGCCCCGGGCUCAACCUGGGAACGGCAUCCGGAACUGUCAAGCUAGAGUGCAGGAGAGGAAGGUAGAAUUCCCGGUGUAGCGGUGAAAUGCGUAGAGAUCGGGAGGAAUACCAGUGGCGAAGGCGGCCUUCUGGACUGACACUGACACUGAGGUGCGAAAGCGUGGGUAGCAAACAGGAUUAGAUACCCUUGUAGUC
rnacentral:rRNA from 1 species